rnacentral:rRNA from 1 species
UUAAGCAUAUCAAUAAGCGGAGGAAAAGAAACCAACAGGGAUUGCCCUAGUAACGGCGCAGUGAAGCGGCAAGAGCUCAAAUUUGAAAGCUGGCCCCCUCGGGGCCCGCAUUGUAAUUUGCAGAGGAUGCUUCGGGAGCGGCCCCCGUCUAAGUGCCCUGGAACGGGCCGUCAUAGAGGGUGAGAAUCCCGUCUGGGAUGGGGUGUCCGCGCCCGUGUGAAGCUCCUUCGACGAGUCGAGUUGUUUGGGAAUGCAGCUCUAAAUGGGUGGUAAAUUUCAUCUAAAGCUAAAUAUUGGCCGGAGACCGAUAGCGCACAAGUAGAGUGAUCGAAAGAUGAAAAGCACUUUGAAAAGAGAGUUAAAAAGCACGUGAAAUUGUUGAAAGGGAAGCGCUUGCGACCAGACUCGCUCGCGGGGUUCAGCCGGCAUUCGUGCCGGUGUACUUCCCCGCGGGCGGGCCAGCGUCGGUUUGGGCGGCCGGUCAAAGGCCCUCGGAAUGUAACGCCCCCCGGGGCGCCUUAUAGCCGAGGGUGCCAUGCGGCCUGCCCGGACCGAGGAACGCGCUUCGGCUCGGACGCUGGCAUAAUGGUCGUAAACGACCCGUCUUGAAACACGGACCAAGGAGUCUAACAUCUACGCGAGUGUUCGGGUGUCAAACCCGUGCGCGCAGUGAAAGCGAACGGAGGUGGGAGCCCGCAAGGGUGCACCAUCGACCGAUCCUGAUGUCUUCGGAUGGAUUUGAGUAAGAGCGUAGCUGUUGGGACCCGAAAGAUGGUGAACUAUGCCUGAAUAGGGCGAAGCCAGAGGAAACUCUGGUGGAGGCUCGCAGCGGUUCUGACGUGCAAAUCGAUCGUCAAAUUUGGGUAUAGGGGCGAAAGACUAAUCGAACCAUCUAGUAGCUGGUUCCUGCCGAAGUU